rnacentral:rRNA from 1 species
CAAGGAAUCUUGCGCAAUGGGCGAAAGCCUGACGCAGCGACACCGCGUGGGGGAAGAAGGCCCUAGGGUUGUAAACCCCUUUUCUCGGGGAAGAGUAAGGACGGUACCCGAGGAAUAAGGUUCGGCUAACUACGUGCCAGCAGCCGCGGUAAUACGUAGGAACCGAGCGUUGUCCGGAUUUACUGGGCGUAAAGGGCGCGUAGGCGGCCCGUUAAGUCUCAUGUGAAAUCUCCCGGCCCAACUGGGAGGGGUCAUGGGAAACUGACGGGCUCGAGGGCAGCAGAGGAGAGUGGAAUUCCCGGAGUAGUGGUGAUAUGCGUAGAUACCGGGAGGAACACCCGAGGCGAAGGCGACUCUCUGGGCUGAUCCUGACGCUGAGGCGCGAAAGCAUGGGGAGCAAACCGGAUUAGAUACCCCCGUAGUCC